UAAGGGCGCACGGUGGAUGCCUUGGCACUAGAAGCCGAUGAAGGACGUUACUAACGACGAUAUGCUUUGGGGAGCUGUAAGUAAGCUUUGAUCCAGAGAUUUCCGAAUGGGGAAACCCAGCAUGAGUUAUGUCAUGUUAUCGAUAUGUGAAUACAUAGCAUAUCAGAAGGCACACCCGGAGAACUGAAACAUCUUAGUACCCGGAGGAAGAGAAAGAAAAUUCGAUUCCCUUAGUAGCGGCGAGCGAAACGGGAAGAGCCCAAACCAACAAGCUUGCUUGUUGGGGUUGUAGGACACUCUGUACGGAGUUACAAAGGACGACAUUAGACGAAUCAUCUGGAAAGAUGAAUCAAAGAAGGUAAUAAUCCUGUAGUCGAAAAUGUUGUCUCUCUUGAGUGGAUCCUGAGUACGACGGAGCACGUGAAAUUCCGUCGGAAUCUGGGAGGACCAUCUCCUAAGGCUAAAUACUCUCUAGUGACCGAUAGUGAACCAGUACCGUGAGGGAAA
rnacentral:rRNA from 1 species